CACACACCUAGAACAAAAAAAAUUGAAGAAAACUCUGGGAAAAAGAAGUGGCUGGUGGCAGUGGCAGGAAAAUUGUCAUAAAGGUGCAACUGACAACAGCAGAAGAGGCGAUGGCGAGGUUAGUAAAUUUCAAUUUAUAUGCAGAGAGAACAGUGAGUGAAAAGGCAGCAGCAGCAGGACACAGGACAUGGGGCACUACAGGAUGAGGAUGAGGACGAGGACAUAGGACACAGGACACACACAGGACGCAGAGUCAAGGAGCCAGCGCGCAAAAAGUGUCAACCAACGCAAGUGGAAAACGCAAUUUCAUUAGACAAAUUGAAAAAAAUAAGUGCAAGCGUACACAACAA